AUUGAACGCUGGCGGCAUGCCUUACACAUGCAAGUCGAACGGCAGCACGGGAGCAAUCCUGGUGGCGAGUGGCGAACGGGUGAGUAAUACGUCGGAACGUGCCCAGUAGUGGGGGAUAGCCCGGCGAAAGCCGGAUUAAUACCGCAUGAGACCUGAGGGUGAAAGCGGGGGAUCGCAAGACCUCGCGCUAUUGGAGCGGCCGAUGUCAGAUUAGCUAGUUGGUAGGGUAAAGGCCUACCAAGGCAACGAUCUGUAGUUGGUCUGAGAGGACGACCAGCCACACUGGGACUGAGACACGGCCCAGACUCCUACGGGAGGCAGCAGUGGGGAAUUUUGGACAAUGGGCGCAAGCCUGAUCCAGCAAUGCCGCGUGCAGGAAGAAGGCCUUCGGGUUGUAAACUGCUUUUGUCAGGGAAGAAAUCUUCUGGGCUAAUACCCUGGGAGGAUGACGGUACCUGAAGAAUAAGCACCGGCUAACUACGUGCCAGCAGCCGCCGUAAAAC
rnacentral:rRNA from 1 species